UGUAAACCACUAGGUGGAUGACUCGGCUUGAUAUGAGAUGAAGGGCGCGACAAUCUGCGAUAAGCCUUGGCGAGAUGCACGUAAUCUUAGAACCAAGGAUCCCUGAAUGAGAAUCUCACUAAUUCCUAUAUAGGAAGUCGAACGCAGGGAACUGAAGCGUCUUAGUACCUGCAGGAAAAGAAAUCAAUUGAGAUGCUGCAAGUAUCAGCGAGAAAAAGCAGUAUAAGGUAAACCGAAUUCUCUAUGGUAACAUAGGGUAUAUGUGGUGUAAUAAGACUUGCUUUUCAUCCUGUUUAAGAGAUUUAAAGUCUCCUGGAAAGGAGUACCAGAGAGGGUGAUAGUCCCGUAGAGUUUUUUCAAUAGGAUUUGCAAGUAUCUUGAGUAACAUCCAUUGGAUUUUGGGUGUGAAUUUUGGAGAAAUCAACUUCAAACCUUAAAUAUAAGUCAAGACCGAUAGAAAAUAGUACAGUGAUGGAACGUUGAAAAGUACCUUUGACCGGGAGUCAAAAGACCCUGAAACCUAGUGGCUAUAGUAUGCUACUGCUCUUCGGAGUUGUAGCGUAUGUUUUGAAUAACAGGCCAGGGAGUGCAUUUAAGUGGCAAGAGUAAUCUGAAAAAGAGAACUCAAAGAGAAAUCAAGAACCCGCAGUUUACGAGGGGUGUGGUAUUAAAGUGCCAUAAGUCACUUGGGUGCGACCAGAAACUAGUCGAUCUAAUCCUGGGCAAGGUGAAGCGGUGGUAAAACAUCGUGGAGGCCUGAAGAGGUUCUAGGUACAUCUGUUCUUCUGACUUGGGAUUAGGGGUGAAAAGCCAAUCGAGACUGGUGAUAGCUGGUUCCUAUCGAAGUUGACCUAAGUCAAGUCUUGGGUGAGAUAGCUGAAUGUGUAGAGUCACGGAUUGGGGGUACAGGGAAAGAAAUUUCUCGGCCUCUUGUUCAACUCCAAAUCAUUCAACAUCGUAGAACUCAGGAGACGGGGGCUCUGGGGUAAGCUUGAGUCCCGAGAGGGGAACAACCCAAAUUGCAAUUAAGGUCCCAAAAUAUCAGUUAAGUGUUAAAGGGUGAAAGGUGUGUAUUACCAGAGACAGCAGGGAGGUAUGCUCAGAAGCAGCAAUCCUUCAAAGAAAGCGUAAUAGCUCACCUGUCAAGGUAAUAUGCCCUGAAAAUUGACGGGGCUAAACUGAUUACCGAUAUUGUAAUCUAAUCCUUAUUGGAUUAAUGUGAUAGGUAGGCGUUUUGUAAGGGUAGAAGUUUCUCCGUAAGGAGGGGUGGACCUUAUAAAAAUGAAAAUCCUGGCAGUAGUAGGACCUACUCAGAGUGAGACUCUCUGAUACCGAAAGGGCAAGGGUUUCUUAGCACUGUAGUUCAGCUAAGAGUAAGUUGAUCCUAACCAUCGUCUUAAUCAGAUUUGAUGGGAAAGGGAAAAAUGUUAAUAUUCAUUUACUAUCUAAGUACACGUGGCAACACAAGAUUAUUUCCUGACACUUCUGGUUAGACUGACGUUAAUCGUCGUUAACGCUAACUGGAAUAAAUCUGGGGAGUAUUAUAAUGAUGAGAACCAGAUUAAAUCUAGGAACAGCCAACAUUAGUUGGUUCAGUUGAGACCAGGAGUCCGUGAAAAAGGAAAUGAUAAGGAUCUUAGAUAUUCAUACCCAGAACCUGCACAGGUGCCCCUAGGUGAGUAGCCUAAGGUAUGAGGGAUUAAUCUAGUUAAGGGAAAUCGGCAAAUUGGCAGCGUUCCUUCGGUUUAAGCUGUCCCUGCGUUUGUGUUUUAAGAAUGCGAAUACAGGGUUCAAUAACUAGGGGGAUCCGACUGUUUAACAAAAACACAACCAACUGCUAGCCAGUAAUGGUCUGUAUAGUUGGUGACGUCUGCCCAGUACUAGUACUUCAAACUCCGGUUCAACGGAGCUAAGAGCUAGCAAACGGCGGGAGUAACUAUAACUCUCUUAAGGUAAACACUAAAGUUGCCUUAGUAAAAUCUGGCUAUAUGCUGGAAAGUCUGAGUAUCCUGAACUACCUUACUUGACACACUUGACAUGUCAGCGCAUGGUUUAUAUAUAAAAAAGUGUUAAUCUUGUAAGGUGAUAAUGUGACAGGUGCAGAUAAUCAGCAGGAAAGAUUAGAUGUCAAAUGGAUUGUUGGAUUUGUUGAUGGAGAAGGUUGUUUUCACGUCUCUAUUAAUAAAUUACCAAAAAUGACACUAGGUUGGCAAGUCCUUCCAGAGUUUAGGGUUGUUCAGCAUAAACGUGAUGAAGCAGUGCUUGAUAAACUAAAAACAUUUUUUGGUUUUGGGAACAUUGUUGUAAAUCAUGGAGACCGAAAAGAAUUCAGAGUAAGAGGCCUAGAGAAUUUGAAUAAAAUAAUUCAGUUCUUCAAAGAAAAUCCUCUUAAAACAUCUAAACAAAAAAACUUUGAACUUUUUUCAGAAAUAAUAUGCUUAAUGAACAAAGAACAACACUUGACAAGAGAAGGGUUAGAAAAUAUUGCUAAUCUGGCUUCACAGAUGAAUAAAAAAAUUAUUAGACAUCUAGAAUCCUCAGAGACUAUACGCCAGAACUCUUUAAAUAAAGAGUAAGAUAUAGUCCGACCCUUACAGCGAUGUAAGGAGGUAUAUAGAAACAUAUGCCCACCUUCUAAUAGAAGGUCAGUACCUCAAAUGAGGGAAAGUAACAGACGUGAGCGAAAUGCCUUGUCGUUUAAUUGGCGACCUGCAUGAAGGCGUAACGAGAUCCCCACUGUCCCUAACUAGAACCCCCUGAAUACUCUCUAUUGGUGCAAAGGCCAGUGACCUCCAGUGGGAAGCGAAGACCCCGUAGAACUUUACUGCAGUUUGUUUUGGUGCUACGAGUUUCGUUGUUCAGCAUAGGUAGGAGUUGCUAAAGCUUAAUCGUCAGGUU
rnacentral:rRNA from 3 species